GCGCUCACAAUGGAGCUCUCGGAGUCUGUGCAGAAAGGCUUCCAGAUGCUGGCGGAUCCCGGCUCCUUCGACUCCAACGCCUUCACGCUUCUCCUCCGGGCGGCAUUCCAGAGUCUGCUGGACGCCCAGGCGGACGAGGCCGUGUUAGAUCAUCCAGACUUGAAACAUAUCGACCCAGUGGUUUUAAAACAUUGUCAUGCAGCAGCUGCAACUUACAUACUAGAGGCAGGAAAGCACCGAGCUGACAAGUCAACUCUAAGCACUUAUCUAGAAGACUGUAAAUUUGACAGAGAGCGAAUAGAACUGUUUUGCACGGAAUAUCAGGUUACUUAAAAUUUUUAAUUAACAGUACUAUUUUUCUAUUACUUUGUUUGUAAAGAUCUGUUUUUUUUUUCUUCUUUCUUUCUUUCUUUUUCCUCUCCAGAAUAAUAAGAAUUCCCUAGAAAUCCUACUGGGAAGGUAGGUACUGUAUAAGGUGUCAAGCUGAGGCACUUUUCACUUGCAGGUAUGAAUGGAGAGUGUUGGUGUGAAACAAGAUCUUCGGGAUCUUGACCCAAAGAAAAGGAGCCAAAGGGCAUGUCAAACAAUUGAAGUUAAGCUAAUGUUUUUAAAGAUAGUUUAUUGAGAUGAUUUUGAAAUGCUCCUUUACCAUUCAGAAUUUAAAAAUAAAGUUUAACAAUGGUUUAAAUUCAGAAUGGAUUAAAAUGGAGUUGGGGGUGGAAAGUAGAGCCAUUCUUAGUAAAUAAUAAAUAACUGAAAAGUUCUUUUGAGAAGACUAUGUACAAAGUUAUCAUUGCAUCUUUCAGUAUAGGCAGAUCGCUCCCUCAUAUAACGGAUGUUUCUUGGCGCUUGGAAUAUCAGAUAAAGGUAUAGUUUAAGAAACUUCUCUAGGGGGGAUUUAGGGAACUUCUUAAAACCUAGAGUUAAAAGCUGUUACGUGUUUGUUGUGUUAUUUUAGACCAAUCAACUUCAUAGGAUGUACAGACCUGCAUAUUUGGUGACCUUAAGUGUACAGAACACUGAUUCCCCAUCCUAUCCAGAGAUUAGUUUUAGUUGCAGCAUGGAACAAUUACAGGACUUGGUGGGGAAACUUAAAGAUGCUUCGAAAAGCCUGGAAAGAGCAACUCAGUUGUAACUUGGGGAAGUUAACGAUCCGCCCGAGUGCAGAGGAAAACCAGAGACGCCUUGCCUUCAGCUGAACCACCGUUUGUGCGAGCUGGAUGUCCUUUUCAGUAGAAAAGAAUUUUCUUUUUGAAUUUAUGCCAUUCAUCAAUUUUGACACUUUAAAAACAUGUGUGAAAGGGUUAAGAGGGAAAGAUACUGCCCAAGUAUUUGAAUCGUUUAGUAGUAACUGUCCAUUUAUCCUAUUUUGAUCUUUUUCAAGUCUUCUGAAAGGAAGUAGACAGUAUUACACCCUGAAUAAAUAAGGUGGUGUUUUCCAC
rnacentral:sRNA from 1 species